CUGGGUCAGGACUGCGCGGCGCCCCCACAUCCGGGUCCCUCUUCCGCUGACCCCCCCCCCCCACAUCCGGGUCCUGCCCCUCCCCCCGGGGGCCCCCGGACCCCGGCUCGGCACCCCGAGUUCUUGCACCCGGCGCCCAGACGCUGCGACCCCGAGGGGCACUACUUGGAGUCCGAUGCACCGGCCCCUACCAGGCCUUAUCGGUCAGGUGACCCUGCAGCCUCGGUCUCUCCCGGCCUCAGUUUCCCCACCUGCUGCUUGAGAGAGUGGCGGUCUGGGUGCUGACGACUGUCCCGGCGUUUUGGAGCGGGUCCAGACUCGGGCGCCCUUUAGUGGGAUUCUCUGUACCUCAGACUCUCCUCACUUCUUGGUCACUCCCCCUGCGGAUCCAGGCCUCAGAUUUCCUUGGGGAAGGGUGAAGCUCUGAGCUGGCUUAUCAGGGACACAGAAGGGAACCAGCAGGCUCUCACAGAGACUUUGGAGUCUGAACCUGGUUUCCAGUCUUAAAGUUAACAGCUGUGUAACUUAGG